rnacentral:rRNA from 1 species
UGGGGAAUAUUGGACAAUGGGCGCAAGCCUGAUCCAGCCAUGCCGCGUGUGUGAAGAAGGCCUUCGGGUUGUAAAGCACUUUUAUUGGGGAAGAAAAGAUCGCGGUUAAUAACCGUGGUUUAUGACGGUACCCAAAGAAUAAGCACCGGCUAACUUCGUGCCAGCAGCCGCGGUAAUACGAAGGGUGCAAGCGUUACUCGGAAUUACUGGGCGUAAAGCGUGCGUAGGCGGUUUGUUAAGUCUGCCGUGAAAGCCCCGGGCUCAACCUGGGAAUUGCGGUGGAUACUGGCAGGCUAGAGUACGGUAGAGGAUGGUGGAAUUCCCGGUGUAGCAGUGAAAUGCGUAGAGAUCGGGAGGAACAUCUAUGGCGAAGGCAGCCAUCUGGACCAGUACUGACGCUGAGGCACGAAAGCGUGGGGAGCAAACA